rnacentral:rRNA from 1 species
CUACGGGAGGCUCCAGUGAGGAAUAUUGCGCAAUGGGCGAAAGCCUGACGCAGCAACGCCGCGUGGAUGAUGAAGGCCUUCGGGUUGUAAAAUCCUUUUUUGGGGAACGAUAAUGACGGUACCUCAAGAAUAAGUCCCGGCUAACUACGUGCCAGCAGCCGCGGUAAAACGUAGGGGGCGAGCGUUAUCCGGAUUUACUGGGCGUAAAGCGCACGUAGGCGGUGCCGUAAGUUGGAUGUGAAAGCUCCUGGCUUAACUGGGAGAGGUCGUUCAAAACUGCGGUGCUUGAGGAUAGAAGAGGAGAGUAGAAUUCCCGGUGUAGUGGUGGAAUGCGUAGAUAUCGGGAGGAAUACCAGUGGCGAAGGCGGCUCUCUGGUCUAUACCUGACGCUGAGGUGCGAAAGCGUGGGGAGCGAACGGGAUUAGAUACCCGUGUAGUC